GUGUUCUAUCCUUCAUUCCACCGGAGUCUGUAACUGUUUUUAACCAGAUUUCAGUGGUGUGAAGUGUAAGAGACA
rnacentral:pre_miRNA from 1 species